GGAAAUGUGGCUCAAUGGUAGAGUGUUUGCCUUGUGUGCAUGAGGCCCUAGGUACAAUUCCUCAACACCA
rfam:Dipodomys ordii contig_27859, whole genome shotgun sequence.